rnacentral:rRNA from 1 species
GUUUGAUUCUGGCUCAGAAUGAACGCUGGCGGCGUGCUUAACACAUGCAAGUCGAACGAGAAAGUUCCUUCGGGAACAAGUAGAGUGGCGAACGGGUGAGUAACGCGUGAGAAUCUUCCCUACAGUGAAGAAUACCCUCGAGAAAUCGAGGUUAAUACUGCAUAACUCCAGGGAAACCUGGAAAAAGGUGGCCUCUUUGCUACCGCUGAAGGAUGAGCUUGCGUGCUAUUAGCUAGUUGGUGGGGUAAAGGCCUACCAAGGCGAAGAUGGCUAGCCGGCCUGAGAGGGUGUACGGCCACACUGGGACUGAGAUACGGCCCAGACUCCUACGGGAGGCAGCAGUGGGGAAUAUUGCACAAUGGGCGAAAGCCUGAUGCAGCGACGCCGCGUGGAGGAUGACGGUUUUCGGAUUGUAAACUCCUGUUAAGUGGGAAGAAAUGGCAGGACCUAAUACGUUCUGCAGCUGACGGUACCACUAGAGAAAGCACCGGCAAACUUCGUGCCAGCAGCCGCGGUAAUACGAGGGGUGCUAGCGUUAUUCGGAUUUACUGGGCGUAAAGGGCGCGUAGGCGGUCCGUUAAGUCAAUUGUUAAAUUCCCUGGCUCAACCAGGGAUCAGCGAUUGAAACUGAUAGACUAGAGGGCAAGAGAGAGAAGUGGAAUUCUCGGAGUAGCGGUAAAAUGCGUAGAUCUCGAGAGGAACACCAGUGGCGAAGGCGGCUUCUUGGCUUGUACCUGACGCUGAGGCGCGAAAGCGUGGGGAGCAAACAGGAUUAGAUACCCUGGUAGUCCACGCUGUAAACGAUGAUCACUAGGUGUUGUCCUUGCUUGCAAGGGCAGUGUCGUAGCUAACGCGUUAAGUGAUCCGCCUGGGGAGUACGGUCGCAAGAUUAAAACUCAAAGAAAUUGACGGGGGUCCGCACAAGCGGUGGAACAUGUGGUUUAAUUCGUAACUACGCGAGGAACCUUACCUAGGCUUGACAUGUAUUCGCUACCAGUGGAAACAUUGGGUUCCGUGCUUCGGUACGGACGUUUACACAGGUGCUGCAUGGCUGUCGUCAGCUCGUGUCGUGAGAUGUUGGGUUAAGUCCUUUAACGAGCGCAACCCUUGCCGCCAGUUGCUACUUCUUCGGAAGGCACUCUGGUGGGACUGCCUAGGAAACUAGGAGGAAGGUGGGGAUGACGUCAAGUCCUCAUGGCCCUUAUGCCUAGGGCUACACACGUGUUACAAUGGCCAGUACAGAGGGGCGCAAGACCGCGAGGUGGAGCAAAUCCCAGAAAGCUGGUCUAAGUUCGGAUUGAAGUCUGCAAUUCGACUUCAUGAAGUUGAAAUCGCUAGUAAUCGCGUAUCAGAACGACGCGGUGAAUACGUUCUCGGACCUUGUACACACCGCCCGUCACACCAUGAAAGUUUUCCGCGCCCGAAAUUGUUUUAGCUGACCGAAAGGGGGCGAGCAAUGAAGGCGAGGGAGAUGAUUGGGGUGAAGUCGUAACAAGGUA